rnacentral:rRNA from 1 species
CCUACGGGAGGCAGCAGUGAGGAAUAUUGGUCAAUGGGCGCAAGCCUGAACCAGCCAAGUCGCGUGAGGGAUGACGGUCCUAUGGAUUGUAACCCUCUUUUGUCGGGGAUCAAGGCCCGCCACGUGUGUCGGGAAGGAGAGUACCCGAAGAAAAAGCAUCGGCUAACUCCGUGCCAGCAGCCGCGGUAAUACGGAGGAUGCGAGCGGUAUCCGGAUUUAUUGGGUUUAAAGGGUGCGUAGGCGGAAGGUUAAGUCAGCGGUCAAAUGUCGGUGCUCAACACCGGCCUGCCGUUGAAACUGGUCGUCUUGAGUGAGCGAGAAGUAUGCGGAAGGCGUGGGGUAGAGGUGAAAUGCAUAGAUAUGACGCAGAACACCGAUUGCGAAGGCAGCAGACCGGCGCUCAAGUGACGCUGAGGCACGAAAGCGUGGGGAGCGAACAGGAUUAGAUACCCCAGUAGUC